AGCAUCGCCUCCCGCUUCUACCACGUGGGGAGGGAAGGCCGGAGAAGUAGGAGGCAGAGCAAACCCGGCCAGCCCCGUACCUCCUCUUCCCCUUCCUCCAACGAGGAGCAGGAGCAGAGGGCGGUGCUCUGGGCUGCGGGGGGAAGUGUUUGGGCGUGUGCGGGCUGUGGAGGGACGGUGGGUGUAAGUGGGGGAGAGGACAAGUGCCCGGGGGUAACAGGGAGGACAGUGGCAGAGGUAUGAGAACACAGUGCAUGGUAGUGGGGAUGAAAGGAAACGAGAGCUGCGGAGAAAGCGGCAGAGCCAACAACGGAGAGCCCGGGAGAAGGCAGGCGGGAGCCGCACGUGGCUCGCAGCGGGCAGGCUGCGAAGGGAAAGAAGGGAGUAGAAGCAGCCGCCAUGAUAUUCCUGGUUCUAGCCAUAUGCCCCAUUAUAAGGAUACAGAAUAUUGACCCAAGCUGGCUAUAUCUUCUCUACUGUUAAAAAGGCUAUAAGUAAACCCUUAUGUAAAAAGAGAGCACACUGGGGGAUAAUCAAGUAAAUUAUCCUCAUCUGGAUUUUAUGGAAACUCUCAGAAGAGACUGCCAGCAGUGUCAUUCUGAUCUGCCGCAUGGAUUGUUGUGCAAGUCACCAAAUGUUCAUCCAUUGCAUAUGGAAGUCAGUCUAUCUAGCUCAUAAUAUCUUGCCUGCUGGCUAAAAGGACAGCUGCUGAUGACUGCUGCUUAUUCCUUGUCAUUAUGACUUGCUAAAAUAGAAGAGGCUUUUCAUCAACAAUAUUUACAUGUUUUUCAUCAAGUCUGCAUCAGAUCGUCUACUAUAUUGGUAAAUCAUUCAGAAGUAAGAGUAACAGCCUUACCAAUACAGCUUUCACUUUUCACUUCAUAUCCUGGUGGGCAGAUGCAUCUGAAUGACCCUUCCAAGUUCUGACAAGUACCAGGAAAGCAUGCACCAGGAAGUGCCAUACACUCAUUAGUAUCUUAAAAGAAUAAAUUGAAUAUAUAAGGAUGUGGAAAUUUUGAAAUUAAUGCAACAGUGAAUUAUUUAUGUUUAUGUAACAAUGGCUGAUAUUAUUGUCAUCCACAACAGAGAUGUAAGCCAGAGGGUUGUCUUUUAUGAGCCUAUAGGUUCUUUCCUGACUUCAUCGACUUAAGCGAGCUCGGGAAAGGAAAACAAAUGACAUUAUUCUAAACCCUCACACUUUUGCCACCACUUUUCUUAAUGUAAGUCUUUUGUUCUCAGUAUUCUAUCUUAGCUAUUCAGAUUGUAAUAUUUACUUCUAAAUGGGACUAACAGUUUGAUUAUUUCAAGUCAGAGAAGUUUGGAAUCUCUGGUUGGUUUAGUACAUACCAAUGCAAUUCUUGCCAUCUGGAGUAAGUUCAUAUCCUUCAUUACAUAAACAUUUGAACGAACCAAUUUCAUUAAAACAUUGUCCAUUUCUGC